rnacentral:rRNA from 1 species
UACAGAGGGUGCAAGCGUUAAUCGGAAUUACUGGGCGUAAAGCGUGCGUAGACGGUUAUGUAAGUCAGGUGUGAAAGCCCCGGGCUCAACCUGGGAAUGGCAUUUGAGACUGCAUAGCUAGGGUGCGGAAGAGGGAAGCGGAAUUUCCGGUGUAGCGGUGAAAUGCGUAGAUAUCGGAAGGAACAUCAGUGGCGAAAGCGGCUUCCUGGUCCAGCACCGACGUCAGGCACGAAAGCGUGGGGAGCAAACAGG